AUAAAUAACAGUAACACUCUUUUCAAAAUUAGACCGAAAAUUAGGUCGUAGACCGCCUGGUCUAAGUUAUGUAAUACGCAGAUGAUCUCUCAACAUAGUUGACUUCUAAUAACUGAUAUUUAACAAUUGGAGAUCCAUAUUGGUCAUAAUUGACAAGUUCAAUACUUUACAUUUGUGCAUGUCAUUUCGAGGGUUUUCAAUCUGAUAUCGAUCUGAUUUUUUGCAUGAGCAUAACUCUGGAGAGUUCUAAAAGACAAACACAGGAAGGUUUCCACGAAUAAUAGUCAAAGACUAAGAACAUUGUCUGUAGGUACGAUUGUCCCGUCCAAGAUAGCAGAGAUAGCAAUAACACUAUCAGUAUAAAAAUCCGUGAGCACUUCCAGUGACGGUAGGGACGUCAGCACUUCAUCUGCGUCUAAUUUAUCAUCAGUCCAAAAAGGUUUGGAUGAAACCCUUCCAGAAGAACGCACGUGGUAGACAAAGGUAGGGGUUUAAAUAUUCAUGUAUCAAAUUAAAAAUUCACACAUCAAACCUUUAGCUUUCCUGUGAUUGCUUCAAACGAACAUGGAAGAAUAAAAAAACAUACAUCCCCACUA